GGUUAGCUGGUCUGAGAGGAUGAUCAGCCACACUGGAACUGACACACGGUCCAGACUCCUACGGGAGGCAGCAGUGAGGAAUUUUGCGCAAUGGGGGAAACCCUGACGCAGCAACGCCGCGUGAGUGAUGAAGGCUUUCGGGUCGUAAAGCUCUGUCAAGUGGGAAGAAACCACGAGGUGAUAAUAUCGCUUUGUGCUGACGGUACCACUGAAGGAAGCACCGGCUAACUCCGUGCCAGCAGCCGCGGUAAUACGGGGGGUGCAAGCGUUAUUCGGAAUCAUUGGGCGUGAAGGGCGCGUAGGCGGUUUGUUAAGUCAGAUGUGAAAGCCCGGGGCUCAACCCCGGAAGUGCAUUUGAUACUGGCGGACUUGAGUAUGGGAGAGGGAAGUGGAAUUCCUGGUGUAGAGGUGAAAUUCGUAGAUAUCAGGAGGAACACCGGUGGCGAAGGCGACUUCCUGGACCAAUACUGACGCUGAGGCGCGAAGGCGUGGGUAGCAAACAGGAUUAGAUACCCUGGUAGUCCACGCAGUAAACGGUGAUCACUAGGUGUAGCGGGUAUUGACCCCUGCUGUGCCGCAGUUAACGCAUUAAGUGAUCCGCCUGGGGAGUACGGCCGCAAGGUUAAAACUCAAAGGAAUUGACGGGGGCCCGCACAAGCGGUGGAGCAUGUGGUUUAAUUCGACGCAACGCGAAGAACCUUACCUGGGUUUGACAUCUCGGGGAUUUUUUGGAAACAAGAAAGUGCCCUUCGGGGAGCCCGAAGACAGGUGCUGCAUGGCUGUCGUCAGCUCGUGUCGUGAGAUGUUGGGUUAAGUCCCGCAACGAGCGCAACCCUUAUCUUUAGUUACCAUCACUUCGGGUGGGGACUCUAAAGAUACUGCCCCGGUCAACGGGGAGGAAGGUGGGGAUGACGUCAAGUCCUCAUGGCCUUUAUGCCCAGGGCUACACACGUGCUACAAUGGGCGAUACAAAGGGUAGCGAGCCUGCGAAGGUGAGCCAAUCCCAAAAAGUCGUUCUUAGUUCGGAUUGGAGUCUGCAACUCGACUCCAUGAAGCUGGAAUCGCUAGUAAUCGCGGAUCAGCACGCCGCGGUGAAUACGUUCCCGGGCCUUGUACACACCGCCCGUCACACCAUGAGAGUUGGUUGUACCAGAAGUUGUUGGGCUAACCCGCAAGGGAGGCAGGCACCUAAGGUAUGGCUGAUGAUUGGGGUGAAGUCGUAACAAGGUA
rnacentral:rRNA from 1 species